rnacentral:rRNA from 1 species
GACGAACCGUGCAAACGUUAUUCGGAAUCACUGGGCUUAAAGGGCGCGUAGGCGGGCGAUCAAGUCCGGGGUGAAAUCCUCCAGCUUAACUGGAGAAGUGCCUCGGAUACUGGUCGCCUCGAGGAGGGUAGGGGCAUCUGGAACUAGCGGUGGAGCGGUGAAAUGCGUUGAUAUCGCUAGGAACUCCGAUGGCGAAGGCAAGGUGCUGGACCCUUUCUGACGCUGAGGCGCGAAAGCCAGGGGAGCGAACGGG